rnacentral:rRNA from 1 species
UUACCUUCGGGUAUUGAGGAUGGCGGACGGGUGAGUAACGCGUAAGGAACUUGCCUCUUGGUCUGGGACAACUGUUGGAAACGACAGCUAAUACCGGAUAUUAUGAGAUUCUCGCAUGGGAAACUUAUGAAAGCUAUAUGCGCCAAGAGAGAGCCUUGCGUUCCAUUAGCUAGUUGGUGGGGUAACGGCCCACCAAGGCGACGAUGGAUAGCCGGCCUGAGAGGGUGAACGGCCACAAGGGGACUGAGACACGGCCCUUACUCCUACGGGAGGUAGCAGUGGGGAAUAUUGGACAAUGGGCCACAAGCCUGAUCCAGCAAUUCUGUGUGCACGAUGAAGGUCUUCGGAUUGUAAAGUGCUUUCAGUUGGGAAGAAGAAAGUGACGGUACCAACAGAAGAAGCGACGGCUAAAUACGUGCCAGCAGCCGCGGUAAUACGUAUGUCGCAAGCGUUAUCCGGAUUUAUUGGGCGUAAAGCGCGUCUAGGCGGAAAAAUAAGUCUGAUGUUAAAAUGCGGGGCUCAACUCCGUAUUGCGUUGGAAACUGUUUUUCUAGAGUACUGGAGAGGUGGGCGGAACUACAAGUGUAGAGGUGAAAUUCGUAGAUAUUUGUAGGAAUGCCGAUGGAGAAGUCAGCUCACUGGACAGAUACUGACGCUAAAGCGCGAA